CCUACGGGAGGCUGCAGUGGGGGAUAUUGCACAAUGGGGGGAACCCUGAUGCAGCGACGCCGCGUGGGUGAAGGAGUGCUUCGGCAUGUAAAGCCCUAUCGGCAGGGAAGAAGCAAGACGGUACCUGACUAAGACGCCCCGGCUAACUACGUGCCAGCAGCCGCGGUAAUACGUAGGGGGCGAGCGUUAUCCGGAUUCACUGGGUGUAAAGGGAGCGUAGACGGCCAUGCAAGCCAGGGGUGAAAGCCCGGGGCCCAACCCCGGGACUGCCCUUGGAACUGCAUGGCGGGGGGGCGGGAGGGGCAGGCGGAAUUCCUGGUGUAGCGGUGAAAUGCGUAGAUAUCAGGAGGAACACCGGCGGCGAAGGCGGCCUGCUGGACCGCGACUGACGUUGAGGCUCGAAAGCGUGGGGAGCGAACAGGAUUAGAUACCCGAGUAGUC
rnacentral:rRNA from 1 species